rnacentral:lncRNA from 1 species
AGAGGCUAUGUAUUGCGCAUCACUAUCCCUUACAUCCCCUAUACAUAUAGUUAUACUUCACGUUAAAUUUUACAUAAAUAUAGUUUAAAUAGGUAUAGAAAAACACAAGAAGUUUCUUGGGUGGAGAAGAUUCGAAACUCCACAAUAAUAGUGUAGCCAGCCUAGAGACGUUAAAUUAAAUAAACAAAAAAUAUAUAUACAAACAGUGUAGCAAUCCUAAGUUAACAGGUGCAAAAUUUAUGUAGGUCAUAGGCAUGAUGUUCUUGGUGAUACUUUUCGGGAUGCCCCGGUAAGCUACGGUCUUCAGAGAUUGAAAGGGGUGGGUUUUUAAAAUAACAUUUACUAUUAAAAGAUAUUAUUGGGCAUCAUUAAUAAAUCAAAAUAAGAAUACUGCAAUGUGCCUGACCAAAAUUAAAGAAAGUUACUUGCAAUGUCGUUCCAUCUGAUAUAGGUUGGUACUUACCAUUACGGUCGUAAAUUGUCUGUGCUUCUCUCCAACAAUAAGGAUAAGAGAUGUAGUGUGCAAAAGAAAAAUACUGAUAAAAGUUAUAACAUAAUAGUCGUUAAUUUAUAAAAAAAAAUUAAAAAAGCAAAAAUGAAUUGAAAAGAAUGAGUAAAAAGAUAAAAUUAAGUCCUUCACGAAUAUGAUUGUUCAAAAGAAAGAAUAAACAAAUUAUUACGAGUACCUGGUGACCUGGGUCUGCAUUGAUGACUAGAGCUAACGUGGAUCUGUUAUAGCUCAGCUGGAACUUUACACACUUCAACACACAACCCCUUCAGCCCAACACUUUACAUUUGUUUGAUUUGGUCUAACGUUCUGUUUUACAAAAUUUUAUGAUAUUAGAAUAAAAUUUCAAAGAUUUUGUUUUAUUUUUACAAAAAGGUAACUGCUAAUUAUUGAUUGUUAUUGGAACGAUGUAAACACUGUUCACUUGAACAUAGCAAAAUUUUGUUUUAAAAAAAAUGAGUUUUUUAUUUUAUUAUAAAGUUGGGAAACUCGCUCCCCGAACUUGUAUUAAUUUCUUCUUAAGAACAACAUAACAAAACUGUUCCUUCUAAUACACGGAAGUAGACACAAAACAUACUAUCGUGGUGUUCACUGUAACCAACACUAAUCUCACUAAGAAAACAGACUAAAAAGAUUGGAGUUCACUGCAUCUGGUAACUCAACUUGUCUUACAGACAAAAACGAAAACUGUUUCGCGGACUAGACCAAGCGGUCCGCGACUCUACUCUGUCGUAGCUAGAUCUUGACUGACUUCCCUCGUCCCAAUUCAAGACAAGAUUCCUCUCAAACACAGAAAUUACACUCCCGUUCUGGCAAUCACCAGAGAGUUAUCCAAUUAAAAGAAACCAAAUAUUUCUUCUACCAAUAAAAUAGCCAGGGUAUGUUACUAAGUCACACCCCACUAAAAGCGUAGAUCUUCUUUUGACCAAUAAAAAAAUACUCAAUAUUCGUAAGCAGUUUUUUUUUGGUUCACACCAAAAUGUUAACUCAGCUCUGUCGACUUAACCUCGACUCAAAGACACUUGAAAAUCUUAUCGCUACUAUGGAAUGUAUUUGUAUAAACAUUCUAGCUCUAAAGUAAACAGAAUUCAGACUCAUAAGACUCCUCAUUGAAGAGAUUAUGACCAAAAUCUUUUUGUAAUCUGCCGCGAUACGAACUUAAAAGAUACAUCAUAUAUACAGACCGUGGCAUAUAAAAAAAGAAUUUCGCGGUAUUACACAUGCGUUUAAUUUAUUCGUUACUACAAGAUCGGACCUGAUAUAUUUAUACAUAUACAUUGGGACCGUUACACUAGAACGUCUCGGCAAGACUACUGAGAUUAUAAAAA